UAAGGAGGCGCUGUCCUGGCGUCGGAUGGGGACGGGGAACGCGGCGAGGGCGCUGCGACCUCUGCCCACCUGGCCCGGCCGCAGUCUCGGAGUUCCUGUUCCUCACAGGAGCUAAUUAUUUAUGACAGCUGCAUGGUUCCCCUCCCCCAGUUACUCAGUGCUUGGCACUCGGCACCCCUUACUCAGCACUCAGUACCGCACUCGGCCUCAGGGGACCUGGGCAGAGGGAAGCAGGGAGUCUCCCGCGGAAACUCUUGCUCUGCCAAAGUGUGAUGUGAUCUGACUGCUGCUCAGGGCCUGGACAGCAAAUGAGGAAGACUUAUUGCAGAAAUUCAGAGCCUAGUGACCUGGACCAGGGUGGAGGCAGCAGAGGAGAGAAACAGAUGAUCAAGACUCUGCUAGCAGGAGAAAAAGAGAGAAAAGAGAGAUGAAAAAGUCUUGUGUGACCAGAAGCUUAUCAACCUUGUGUGCUGUUGGCUUACUUUAACAUUUACAGCAGAUGAUAGAAUUGUGUUCAGAUGACACAAUAAGGUAUCAAAUGACUUCACGAAAGCAAGACGGCACUGAACCCCAAGUUUGUGCCUUCAGUCUCUCGCCUCGGCACCUAGGUAAUCCUUUGCCCACAGGACCACACCACCCUCCCCCAGUGAGAGGAACCAGAGUGACGGGAAAGGGAAGCCCCACACAACCAGCACUCGAGGCCCGGCCCACUGGGAGCACUGGGUGGCCUGGCCUGGGAAAGCCCCUUGUGCCCCUUGGGUGGCACCAGCAGGUACCCGUGGGAGCUCCAGCAGCACCAGACAAACCAAGCAGACCCAAGAUAGCACCAUGAAGGCUCUGAACAUCAAAUUGUCACUGGAAGCAUGGCCUGCAGAAGCGGGCCACAAUCCUCACACUAAACCUAAGCAGAGCGACUGGCUGCAAAAAGGAAAGACUUAAAAAAUAGGAUCCAGAGACCUUCCUCUUCCUCAUGAGUUUUCCAAAUCACACUUGAUUGAAACAAAAACGUUAGCACCAUCUGAGACUCAGGACAGUGAUAUUUAUGAGCGGGGAGGGUAAAGGAAGCUCCAUGCUAUAAGUUCCGCACCUCGCUUGAAGUAGGAAAAGGCCACGGCACGCAGGACUCACUGAGUGGCUACCAAAAGAAACCAACGCUGAGCUAUAGCAUGGCAAGCUAAUACUACAUUUUGGAAAAGCACGCAUAUUGAAAUUUGCGUCAUUUGUGCUAUUAUUUGUGCUAUUAUAAAGACCUGACGCCUGGUGGAACCGUGCUUACAAUGUGUGGGUACUUAAACGCGUGUUCUGAAAAACUCCUCUGCUGCUUCUUCCUCUGAUUUCACAUUCGGUAAACCUGCAAGUGCACACAUUUCAUCCCCUUGCAAGACUGUUGUCAGUGCUCAGUAAGUCUACAUUUUACAUAGGAUGAGGUGAUUACAAAGAUGGCACCAUGGAUAAACGACACUACCUGUGUUAGCAGUUGUGACUUUUCCUUCU
rnacentral:lncRNA from 1 species